rnacentral:misc_RNA from 1 species
UUUCCGUAGGUGAACCUGCGGAAGGAUCAUUACUGAGUUAGGGUCUUUAUGGCCCGACCUCCAACCCUUUGUUUAACCUACCAUGUUGCUUUGGCAGGCCCGCUUAGAAAUGGGCCGCCGGAGACCUUUGAGUCUCUGGUCAGUGCCUGCCAGUAGCCUUUCUAAAUUCAUUUAUAACCGUGUCUGAAUAUACAAAGAAAAAUUAAAAUAAAACUUUCAACAACGGAUCUCUUGGUUCUG